CGCUGGAAGAUUUUUCUCACAUGAAAAAUGUUUUCAAAUUGGAUGAAAAACGGUGAUGCUUCCUGCCCUCAGUGAGUCCUGUUCCCAUGGUGCUGUGCAGACUCUCCCAUCCGUGUGGGAGAGAAAGAGAUGCAGCACUUCCCUUCUGAUUGCUUUUCUACUGAACCAAUGCCAAACGCUUCAUGUUGAUUGACUAAUGAAAAAGUACCACUUCAGCUUCCUCAGCCUUCAGGACAAAAUUCUCCAGCGUGGAAAACUUCUGCAGAGUGCACCUGGGGCCACCACUCAGCAGCUCCUGGUUGCUGCUGAAGGCCUUUGUGGUAAAAAACUGACCCGGUGAAAAUUCAGCAGUGCUAGAUGUGUCCAACUUGCUGGUUGAUGUUUUGCUGUCACUUGUGUGGCUGGUUUUGCUGGCACAUUAAGACAUAUACUAAAAUAAGCUUACAAGACUGGCAUGAACAAUGUGUAUCUCUGGACUUGGAUCUUCAGCACUUCUGUUCACAGUGCAACUCCUCAUGGGAGAGGGAUGAACCUGGCUUGGCAACCUGUGUGUUUUCUGCUCCCGUCCACUCUUGGAGCCAGGAAAGGAAGGGGAAAGCUGAGAUAAACCAGUGGAUCCUGGAGGCCUCCUAAAUAGGACAGUUCCCUUUUGGACAGAAAAGCUCCAGGUGCUUGUAGUAUUUAUUGAUGGUAAAUAGAAGCAUGUGAAAUGCAAGUGUGGGCAGAAGAGUAAAAGCAUUGCUUGCCUACUUGCCUACUGUCUUCUGAAUCCAGUCAGCAACUAAAUGUGUUAUAUUC
rnacentral:lncRNA from 1 species